UAUGGUUGAAAAUUAUGAAAUAAAGUAUGGUGAAGUUGAGGCCAUAUGUAUGAGGGUUGGGCGUGUGAUGGGUGUGUGUGUUGUGUGAUAUUGAAACUAUGAAUUAAUGCCUAAUUAGUAUAUUAUGACCAUUGUAAGGUGAAGAACUUUUGAGAAUCAUCCAUGUGGGUAUGUUAGUGUGCUAGCCGAAAAUGGGUCACCUUAUGUGCCAAGAACUGAAUUAUUAUCGCUUAUUGUUUAGCCGUCGUCGCCAUGAAUUCUAUGUUGGAAAUGAAAGUUUAUUGACUCAAAUUGAUGUUGUAAAUAUUGCGAACUGAUUUGGAGGUUGUUGUACAUUUAAUGUAAAUUAUGUAUUGAUGAAAAUAGCGUUGUUAGAAUGUAAAAAUUGUAGACACAAACCAUGAUUUGGAAAUGAAGAAAAGUUAGAGGGGCUGUCUCGGUUAGGGGCUGUUUCGGGUAGCUUGGGAAAAUUUAUGGAUUGUUGGAAAAGUUGUAUAAACUGCUUAGAAUGUCUUGAAAUGUUUUUGGUAUGGGUUCGGGUUAGUAGGUGAGCAUAUAAGCGUCGAUUUUGGGCUUGAAGGUAAGUCGUCGAAUUGAAUUUAUGAAAGUUGAUAAAUGAUGGCAAGAGAGCUAUUAUUGUUGAAUUACCUUUCGGAUUAAUUAUUAAUGUUGUUAGGUUGGUUGUUGUGGUUGUUGUUGAUUGAUAUGGCCGAGUUAAAUUCUCGGGAUGGCCUAAUUACAGGGGAAGUGCUGCCGAAUUUUUCUGUAGAAUUUAAUGAUUAGCUGGAAUGAAUGGCUAAAUGCCCUUAUCUAAUGUUUGGUGUUCGUUGGCGUAUUGUAGACCUUGGGGAGCCCGAGGCGUAGAUUGGAUAUUUACUUAAGAUUGGCUAUCUUGAGUGCGUUCGAGGUACAGACGCACAGUUCGGUGAUCCCUCAGUGUAGGAUACCCCUUUUGUUGUUGGAGUGCUCCCUUCCCUUCAGAGCACAUCUUUUGGUAUACACUUUUGUUUGUUAUGUUGCAUAUAUUCGUUCAUGGGUACGGCGGGGCCCUGUUCCGCCAUAUGAUUCGUUUGGUCUGCUUAGAGGUCUGUAGACUUAUUUGUGGGUGUGUGUGCCUACUUCUGUACAGUUGUGUCCAUAUGAUCUCCUUCGUUAUGGCAGCCUUGUCGGCAUGCAUUUUGUAUAUGUUUAUGGCAGCCUUGUCGGCUCGCACAUGUAUAUGUUGUUCUGUUGGCCCUGUGUGGCCUUUGUGGUAUUUGCUGUGUACAGGGUUAUUUUGGAUAGUCCGAAAAACAAAGGAAACUCUGCCGAAAUUUUUCUGGAAAUUGUCUAAAUUUGAAAUAUAGCCUUGAUGGCUUCUGUUAUAUA